rnacentral:rRNA from 1 species
CCUACGGGAAGCUGCAGUGAGGAAUAUUGGUCAAUGGACGAGAGUCUGAACCAGCCAAGUAGCGUGAAGGAUGACUGCCCUAUGGGUUGUAAACUUCUUUUAUAUGGGAAUAAAAUGUUCCACGUGUGGGAUUUUGUAUGUACCAUAUGAAUAAGGAUCGGCUAACUCCGUGCCAGCAGCCGCGGUAAUACGGAGGAUCCGAGCGUUAUCCGGAUUUAUUGGGUUUAAAGGGAGCGUAGGUGGAUUGUUAAGUCAGUUGUGAAAGUUUGCGGCUCAACCGUAAAAUUGCAGUUGAAACUGGCAGUCUUGAGUACAGUAGAGGUGGGCGGAAUUCGUGGUGUAGCGGUGAAAUGCUUAGAUAUCACGAAGAACUCCGAUUGCGAAGGCAGUUCACUGGACUGCAACUGACACUGAGGCUCGAAAGUGUGGGUAUCAAACAGGAUUAGAUACCCUUGUAGUC